CCUACGGGUGGCAGCAGUGGGGGAUAUUGCACAAUGGGGGAAACCCUGAUGCAGCGACGCCGCGUGUGGGAAGACGGUCCUCUGGAUUGUAAACUACUGUCGCCAGGGACGAAGAUGACGGUACCUGGGGUGGCAGCUCCGGCUAACUACGUGCCAGCAGCCGCGGUAAUACGUAGGGAGCGAGCGUUGUCCGGAUUUACUGGGUGUAAAGGGAGCGUAGGCGGGACGGGAAGUUGGGUGUCAAAUCUACCGGCUCAACCGGUAGCCGCGCUCAAAACUGCAGGUCUUGAGUGAAGUAGAGGCAGGCGGAAUGCCCAGUGUAGCGGUGAAAUGCGUAGAUAUUAGGAAGAACACCGGUGGCGAAGGCGGCCUACUGGGCGUUUACUGACGCUGAGGCUCGAAAGUGUGGGGAGCGAACAGGAUUAGAUACCCGGGUAGUC
rnacentral:rRNA from 1 species